CCGGCACGGGUGAGUAACACGUAUCCAACCUGCCGUCUACUCUUGGACAGCCUUCUGAAGGAAGAUUAAUACAAGAUGGCAUCAUGAGUCCGCAUGUUCACAUGAUUAAAGGUGUUCCGGUAGACGAUGGGGAUGCGUUCCAUUAGAUAGUAGGCGGGGUAACGGCCCACCUAGCCUUCGAUGGAUAGGGGUUCUGAGAGGAAGGUCCCCCACAUUGGAACUGAGACACGGUCCAA
rnacentral:rRNA from 1 species